UGAUAAUUGUACUAGUUUCAUUUGUUGUCCUUUCUUCUGUAUUCUACACCACCCAUUGAGUAUUUCCAUCGGGGAAAUUUGUUUAUUUAUUAUACAGCAGAAUCUUGUUUAUCGCUCUUUACAUCUUCGUAAGCUACUUAAAGGCAAAUAUCUUAAUAUGUUUACAUAAAUCAACGAAAUUUAAGCUAAUUUAUCUGUACUUUUUUUACCAGCCGCACUGGCAAACAUUAGUACAAAUAUUACCGUUAACGCAACUAUAUAAUAAUAACAUAAUUGACUUUGGUAUUUCACUGCUGCUUUGUGAGUGUGUGUCCCUCCGAACUCCUUCACAAUGUUAGUUGCAGAAAUAUAAUGAAGAAACCAUCUACUCAUGUACAUGUUCAAUUUUUAACUACUCAACCUAGCCACCACAUUGCUAAAACGGCAACAAUAGCUAUCAAAUAUUCCACCGUAUGUAAAAUUUUAGAAAAAUACAUAAUCAUAUACAUCAUUACCAUAAACGACAAACAGUUAUUCACGCAUACAUAGAUAUGUUUGCACUUAUGCCGUUAUGACUUAUACUUCAGAAAAAAUAAAUAAUUUAAUCAUAACUACAUGUGUAAUUAUAUAUAGCGCUAAUAUCGUUUAGUAAUAGCACUUAGCGAAUACUUUAUCAUGAGCUAGAUAGGCAUCUGUUGGACAUUUCAAAAUUUUAAUGGACUACCAACACCUCGAAGUGGUGUUGUGGAGGGGGAAACUCUUGAAUU